rnacentral:rRNA from 1 species
UAAAGAUUUUAAGGGCGUACGGUGGAUGCCUUGGCGAUAUCAGCCGAAGAAGGACGCGGUAAGCUGCGAUAAGCUACGGAGAGGUGCAAGCAACCUUUGACCCGUAGAUUUCCGAAUGGGGGAACCCGGCAGUGGUUAUGCACUGUCACCCAUAGCUUAGACUAUGAGGAGGGCACCUGGGGAACUGAAACAUCUAAUUACCCGGAGGAACAGUAAUCAAACGAGAUUUUCUUAGUAGCGGCGAGCGAACGGGAAAGAGGCCAAACCGGAGCGGGCAACCGCACCGGGGUUGAGGACAGUCAUCAAGUGUAAAUGAGGUAGAAGAAUCGAGCUGGAAAGCUCAGCCGCAGAAGGUGAAAGCCCUGUAAUCGAAACCUUGCAUACACGGGACUGUAUCCAGAGUACCACGAGACACGUGAAACCUUGUGGGAAGCAGGGGGGACCACCCUCCAAGCCAAAAUACUGAUAUCGACCGAUAGCGCAUAGUACCGUGAGGGAAAGGUGAAAAGAACCCCUGGCGGGGAGUGAAAGAGAACCUGAAACCGUAUGUCUACAAACAGUCGAAGUCUGUAUAUAUAUCAGGACGACGGCGUGCCUAUUGAAGAAUGAACCGACGAGUUACUGUUGCUAGCGAGGUUAAGUGGAAAACAUGGAGCCGCAGCGAAAGCGAGUCUGAACAGGGCGUUCAGUUAGUAAUAGUAGACCCGAAACCGUAGUGAUCUAUCCAUGGCCAGGUUGAAGCACAGGUAAAAUUGUGUGGAGGACCGAACUCGUGAGCGUUGAAAAGCUUUGGGAUGAGUUGUGGAUAGGGGUGAAAUGCCAAUCGAACACGGAGAUAGCUGGUUCUCCCCGAAAUAGCUUUAGGGCUAGCCUCGAGGUAGAGAGUAUAGGCGGUAGAGCACUGAUCGGGCUAGGGGCCAUACCGGUUACCGAACCUAGUCAAACUACGAAUGGCUAUACUUAUACUCGGGAGUCAGACAGUGAAUGAUAAGGUCCAUUGUCAAGAGGGAAACAGCCCAGAACACCGACUAAGGUCCCAAAUGUUACACUAAGUGGCGAAGGAUGUGGAAUUUCCAAAACAACCAGGAUGUUGGCUUAGAAGCAGCCACCAUUUAAAGAGUGCGUAAUAGCUCACUGGUCGAGAGACUCUGCGCCGAAAAUGUCCGGGGCUAAAGUGUAAAACCGAAGUCGUGUCAUAUGCAGCAAUGUAUAUGGGUAGGGGAGCGUUCUCAUCGGGCUGAAGCAGUACCGUAAGGAGUUGUGGACUGAUGAGAAGUGAGAAUGUCGGUAUGAGUAGCGAAAAGAAUGGUGAGAAUCCAUUCCACCGAAAGCCUAAGGGUUCCUGAGCAACGAUCGUCGUCUCAGGGUAAGUCGGGACCUAAGCCGAGGCGGAAAAGCGUAGGCGAUGGACAACAGGUUGAAAUUCCUGUACCGGUGUGAAUCGUUUGAUCGAUGGAGUGACACAGUAAGGUAGGUCAGCACGCGAUUGGAAGAGCGUGUUUAAGCAGGUAGGUUGAGUGAUAGGCAAAUCCGUCACUCUAAAAGCUGAGAUGUGAUGACGAGUGACUAGCAAUAGUCGCGAAGUGAUUGAUCCUACACUGUCGAGAAAAGCUUCUAGGUAGAGACACAUCGCCCGUACCAAAACCGACACAGGUAGGCGGGGAGAGAAUCCUAAGGUGCGCGGGAAAACCCUCGUUAAGGAACUCGGCAAAAUGCCUCCGUAACUUCGGGAAAAGGAGGACUCAUGUAGUGUGAAGUGCAGCAACGCAUGGAGCAUGAAUGAGUGGCACAAGAGAGGCGCAAGCGACUGUUUACCACAAACACAGGUGCCUGCUAAAGCGAAAGCUGAUGUAUAGGUGCUGACACCUGCCCGGUGCUGGAAGGUUAAGAGGAGGGGUUAGACUUCGGUCGAAGCUCUGAAUUGAAGCCCCAGUAAACGGCGGCCGUAACUAUAACGGUCCUAAGGUAGCGAAAUUCCUUGUCGGGUAAGUUCC